AUUGAACGCUGGCGGCAUGCCAUACACAUGCAAGUCGAACGGCAGCACGGGAGCAAUCCUGGUGGCGAGUGGCGAACGGGUGAGUAAUAUAUCGGAACGUGCCCGGUCGUGGGGGAUAACGUAGCGAAAGCUACGCUAAUACCGCAUACGAUCUACGGAUGAAAGCGGGGGAUCGCAAGACCUCGCGCGAUUGGAGCGGCCGAUAUCAGAUUAGGUAGUUGGUGAGGUAAAGGGCUCACCAAGCCGACGAUCUGUAGCUGGUCUGAGAGGACGACCAGCCACACUGGGACUGAGACACGGCCCAGACUCCUACGGGAGGCAGCAGUGGGAAUUUUGGACAAUGGGCGCAAGCCUGAUCCAGCAAUGCCGCGUGCA
rnacentral:rRNA from 1 species